rnacentral:rRNA from 1 species
UACGAAGGGGCUAGCGUUGUUCGGAAUUACUGGGCGUAAAGGGCGCGUAGGCGGUGUGUCAAGUCAGGCGUGAAAGCCCCGGGCUCAACCUGGGAACAGCGCUUGAGACUGGCACGCUCGAGUUCGGGAGAGGAUGGUGGAAUUCCCAGUGUAGAGGUGAAAUUCGUAGAUAUUGGGAAGAACACCGAUGGCGAAGGCCAGCCAUCUGGACCGACACUGACGCUGAGGCGCGAAAGCGUGGGGAGCAAACAGG